UAUGAUUAAAGUGUAUUUAUUUAAUAUCCCGUGGGUUUUUUUUUUAUUAUCCAUUUUACUAGUUUUUUUCGUUAAAUCAGUGAUAAAAUUGAAACUAAAAGAUACUAAAAUAAAUAUUCGAUAAAUCUAGGUGGGGUAUUUGAAGUUUUUUGUAUAUGAUUUAAUAAAAUGUUAGCCGAGGAGCUGACGAAAAAUUAAGAAAAAAUAAAAACAGAGUACUAAAUUAAUAUACUUAAAACCAUUGAGUACUAAAAUAAAAAAUUGCGAAACCACAAGGGUGGUAUCUGAAGUUUG
rnacentral:lncRNA from 1 species